rnacentral:lncRNA from 1 species
UGUAUUUAAAUUUAAAGUUUGAAUUUAAAUUAAAAUUUGAAUUUUAAAUUGAAUCUAAUUUUUUAUUUCAAACUUAAAUUUUUUAUUUUGAUUUUGAUAUUUUAAUUUAUAUUUAAAAUUUAUAAAUAUAUGAUUUGGAAAUGAAAAGAAGAGCUCUCUUGUCACGCCCCGGGGCCGAUUUUAAAAGUCUUUUAAAAACAGAGUUGCGGAAAACGUGCCAUUUUUUUUUUUU